UUCGAGCUUCGUCAGUUUCGAAAAAACUGACACACACGGACGGCAAAACUAUGAUGAUUUAUGUUUAGUCAGUAGUUCGUCUAAGUCAAAAUCAAUAUCAUUCUCGGCAACUUGGUCCAUAAAAUGCUUCCUCCAAACAUUUAUCACAUCUCUGCACCUUUCUGCUGCUGGAUCACAUCUGUUUUUGCUCUCUUUGCUUAAGUCUUUACCACAGCCUAAACAUACAACGACGGUCAUGUUUACACGCGUAUGGGCGGUGCUCAUUUUCAGCCCCACCUAUAUGCAUGCUGUCAGCUCCACCCGUGACACAAAACUAGCUACCGUACUGAACCUGACUCUCCGUUUUUCCGCGAGAGGCAGGCUCCGCCUGACUAGGAGAGGUAUGAGAGGGGUAAUGUAAGCAAAGGUACAAGUAACAACUAUAGUGAAGCUAAUUGAAUAGGAUAACAUAGCAAGGUACUUUGGUAAGAAAAGAGAAGAUGACGAUCAUACUUAUACCUGGAAGUGAUACUUAAAACCUUUCAAGAGACUAUCAUGAGACUGAAGAGUGAGGAUAAUCAGGACAUGCCUUUUCAUUAAGAAAGUACAAUUCACAGACCUUGAAAUGGACUACUAAGUAACUCACGGCCCAUGAUACAGUGAGACACAAUAGUGGCAUAGAUUACAGAGACAUGGAGGAGUGACAUCUUUCAGCUAUUACUGCAGCACAAAUAAAGCUUGAGAUACAAGACCUCAGUGACAGAUUAAAGAUUUAAAGACAAUUUUUUCAUUUCACUUCACAAUGACAAUUGUCAGUCAAGUCAACCACACCUAUUUCAAGAUGGUAUCAAUGAAAUGCUCUUGUUUGAGGCUGUUUUUGUGCUUCAAGCUACAGAAGUAUGCAGACUACUACACAACAUACGAGGGUCAGGCCAGCCUCGAGCCACAAAGAUCAUUCACUGAAUGCAAGUAAAAGCUUUUCGUAAAGCAUUUUCUGAGGCCAGUGUGGCUCUUAAUGAGCCUAAAGUUAAAACUGUAAUGCCUUCUCCUGGUCAAUUAGCAAAAUAAACAUUGUACUUCACUUCACUUCUCUAUUUUCUGUAUAAAAUGAAUUCAUUCCAGCUAUGUUAAUAAUCAAAUGAGCCUACUCUUUUUUUCCGCUGUUAGUAUAGAUUCCAUUAACAUCAAAUGUAUCAUAGUAACAAUA